UGGGCUUUGGCCAAAGGAAGAGAAAGUCAUACCACCUGGCCGCUUGGAAGCAGACAAAAACUUGCAAAAAGAUUGUCUCAAGGUGCAAGCUUCCAGGAUUUUUAGAUGGAAUUUGCAUCGUGGCUGGUUAUAGUUUCUCCAGUGGCCUGUCUUCUGGAGUUAGCAAUUCUCACAAGACUUUAAUAACGUUGGCUCAGUUUGACUUCUCAAGGCUGGAACGUGACCAAUACAUUAGCAAUGCUGAUUGGCUUUGAUGAGAGGUUUCUGAAAAGAAAUACAUGCACAGAACUUUGACCUCGGGAAAAGUAGUGCUGAUGUGCACAACCUGCAACAACUUAAGAGUGUCUUUUGCAGCAUGACUGCAACAAUUGUAUUAACGGAAGUGGAGUGAAAGUAAAUUUUGAGCAAAUUUCUGCAAGAGAAACUCCUAGAGUACAGCCAGGAAAUUGCACAAUAGGUGCCAUUCAGUGGUGGAGCAGCAGUUCAUGUUGUUGGUAUCGUGCUUAAUGAAGGUAAUGAAAAGUAAGAAACGCAAUGCAGAGCUGAUGUUGCAUUGGCUGCAUCUAAUCACACUGGAAGGAAGCUUUGUAUCAACUGAUGACAAGUUUGUGUUUUUGAGUAUACUGCUUUGAAGAUGAUGUCUUCACCAAUGCCUAAAUGGAUCAGAAAUGUUAACACAAAGAAUAUAUAACAUAAAUUUUAAUCUUAUGAUUACUUGUUGUAAUAUAUUGAGAAUCAAAAUUUCUAUCAUUGGAACAAUGAAUACACUAACCUGUAACUUACAGUCCUACAUAUGAACCACUAACACAUAGUGAGCUAAUCAAGUAUGAAAAAUAGGUCUCGUAAACAAUAUGGGUACUUGUUUUUUUUAUGAGAGAGGAAAAAAAAGAAAUGGAAAUAGUAGCAUGGUUAUUGGCAGAAGAAAAAACUGCAUUAAAGAAAUGUUACUUGGGGAGAUGAAAAUUAGUUACCAAAAUCAGCCUGAUUUCCAUACAAAACAUAACAGAACAUUAUCAUAUAUACUGAAUAUAUACAAUUUUUAGAUUGAUUCCUAUAGAACAUGUGCCUCCACUCCCCUUUUUUCACAUGCCUCUUAUAUUUUGGAACAUCUUAAUGCAGUCAUGUUUUGAAUGCUACCGGGAAGGUUCUUAAAAUGUUCCCACUCAAGAAAAGUACAUGCCUUAUUUCUGUGUUUUAGGACAAAAGAUGUUUACCUAUGUUGUGCCUCUAUCUAGAAAGCUUUCUCUCUCUCUCUCUCUCUCUCUCUCUCUCUCUCUCUCACACACACACACACACAAACAUAUACACACUGACUGGCACCUGUUCACCUGUUCAUCAUUCAGGACUCAGCUUAACCCUCAGUUCUCAAGAAGUGUUUCCUUGGUUCACUCUUAAUAUUGGCCGCCACUCUUAUUCUGUCUUAAACUCUGUCAAGAAGGAAAACUUUUUUCUCUCCCUCUUAUGUUUAGUCCCUGGGGGCAUAAAAAAUAAAAAUUUUAUUAAUAUUUACAUGCAUGGGAGUUCACAGAAAUUCAGAUAAAUAGUUAGACUUGGAGGCUUAUGUACCCUUUUAAAAAAGGAAAGAAGGUUUGGACUUCAAGAGACCAUAAAUCAUGGGGAAGUGACUAGGAUAUAUGUGAAGGAACUAACUGAAGGUAAGGGCUGUUUUAGUAAGGUCUGUUUUUACAAACUUGUCUUGCUUGGUAUUAACUCCCUGUCUUUGAUGAUAAGAGUUUUCUUCUCUGGAUGGUGGGGUGGGAAGAGGAAGGGAGGAGUUCAAAAAUUUAUUCUCUGCUUUUAGGAAAAUAUGGGAGGAAAGAACUCUUCUAGCCUCUGUUGAUUCUUGAUUGCCCUUAGCUCAAAAUCGUUCUAUGCUAAGUGGCUAAUUUUAGGGUAGCACAGUCUGAUUGUCUUCAAUACUCUGUUCUUGACCUUAGUGGCAUUUCUGAUAGUUUUUCAAAUUUAUGUAAUAUUGGUCUCCCCUACUAGACUGUAAUCUCACUGAAGGUGAGAGCCUUUUCUAUUAUUUAUCUCUAUACACAGAACACUAACAUAGGUCCUGGCCCCAUAUAUUUAUUGAUAAAUAUAUGAUUGUGUGAAUGAGAUAGGACUUAAGCAAAAAAUGCUUUUUGAUUUGGUAAAAUAAAUAGCCUCUUUCAUGAAGUUGUAGAACAUAAUUGAGAUACUUUGUUGGAAGAAAUGCUGAUAUGCUUUAAAUUGUUUAUGCCAAUAAAACUACUUACGUACAUAGCUUUAGUAAGAUGCUUUGUAAAUUGUAAGCACUUUUCUAUAUACAAGUUCAACCUGCCCCAAAUUUCUCUAAAGUAGUAUCUUCAUUUCUCAAAAAAUAAAACUGAAUGAGAUGUCAAAAGGCGAAAUGAAUUAGCUGAACAACAAAAUACUUGUGAGAACAGUGAGAAAAUGAGUACUACCUUCUGGUUAGACAGUGAGCAAUCUCCAAGGGGCAGCUGGCAUCUCACGUGACUUGAUAAGGAUGAGGCAUCACGAGAGUCAUCCUACAAUGUGUAGGUCUGUUUAUAUUUUCUGGUGAGUGGUUUUAGUUUUUCCCCUAAAGUCACAGACACACUCCACAGGGUCAUGCUAAUGGUAACAAGCAGCAAGGAUUUUCCUAGAUUUAAUCUUCUUUUCUUUCUAUGGCAUUAGAGUAUGUUAUAAUGACUGCUAUCAGAAAUUAGUUUACUAUCUUCUUGUCACGUGUUUGCUUAUAUACAAAUUUCACAAACUUAUAGGAAAUAGUAGUUCUUUCUGUCUUUUAAAGUUAUCUAAAUUUUGUUCCAAUCCCCGUCUGACCCAGCCAGUGUCAAGUUCUAUCCCAUUCCCCAAGGGAAAAUCCUCCUUGUCUGUUACCAUGUAGAAGUCUCAGUGUCCUGACACUCUGAAGAUGUAAAACGGGUUCCCUGGACACUGAUUACUUCCCCAUGACUAAUGUCCCGGUCUACUGCUUCAGGUAGAAAGACUCUGCUGUUCCCAUGUUGCGGUGAAGCUGGGAGCCUCACCAGGGAGCAGCACAAAACCAUUUGCUCUGGGAUCUGCUAUCUCUCUGGGGUGCUGCCAAAGAGAGGGCAAGAUUGCCACUCCUCCAGGGAACCCCACCCCAUGCACACACUUCCUCCCAGCUGUAGGAGUCUCUCUUCCUUUUCUGUCUUUUUUCCUCAGAGACAUCCCUCUCUAACAUCCCCUCUGGGACACUCAACAUCGCUUCGAUGACCUUAGGCAUUAGAAAAGGCAAAAAGAAACACUAACAUCUGCUUCUUCUGUUUUCCACCCUGAAAAAGUCUGCAAAGCAAAACAGGAAUAAGGAAUGAGUAAGCUCUGUGAAACAGGGGAGGGAAAAACAUGAGGAGGACAAACACGGUAUUUCUAACAUGACAUUCUAUUAUAGACAUUCCUAGAUGGAGCAUCCUGAUGGUGAUAAAUGCAUCUUUGAAAUUUUGAUGUUAAAGUGACUAGUGUUGUCUUUGGCAUAAUAGAUCCUUACAUGUUGUGGAAAAAAGGGGGAAAAGGGGAUAAAAAAAGGAAUGAAGAGAGAGAGGCCAAAAAAAAGGUGAGAAAGAAGGUGGGAGGAAUAUAAUUAUAUAUAUCAAUGCAAUAUGCAUUGAAUAUAGAAAUAUGCCAAUCAAGCUGCUAAAUAUUAUUGGUAAUAUAAAAAUGCAUGAGUUCCCCAGGAGCUUGAAAGUUAGAAGAGGAGACAUAUAUAUAAAUACCUCUAAAACACAACUAAUGUGGAGCCAUAGCAUAUACAAUACCAAGUAUCUAUCAUAUGCACAGUUCCCCUAAAAGAGACCACCCUGAGGCAGACAUACCUUGGUCACUGUGACUCCAAACAUCUAGUCCCAGAUGAUUGUAUUAGAAGAGGCACCUGACCCAAAGGUAUUUCUCCAGUAAACUAAGAAAUAGCCUUUUGUACAAAAAUGAGCUGAGUCAGUCAGUCUCUCUAGGUGGUGAAGUAGCUAGCAUGGGGAGCUGAAAAAGUCUGCAAAGGACACGACAGCCAGAGUAUGGGCAUGUCUCCUGGAUCGGGAGGAAACUGAAGUUAUGAAAAGCAGAAAUUAAGAGGAAGUACAGGUUUCCACAUAUACUGAAAAGAAAAUGCCAAAACUGAGCAGAUAAAGAAUGAGGAAACAUUUCCAUACAGAAUGGAGAAAAAAAAGACACAUGCCACUGGGUACAUAAUUUUUUGAGAAAGGUUUAUAGCGACAGAGAGAGCAGGCAUGUGGCUCAGGAUUAUGAAGGAACUAGUGGAUGGCUUCUGGAGUGGCCUCAUCUUGUGACAGUUCCAGUUCUGGCACAUAUGUAUCCUUAUGAGCGACUCCCUUUCUUAAUAAGGUAUCUUAUAUGAGGUUUUCUGUCCUGUAUCACUGAAGAUACAGGUGAAAACAAGAGUCCUGAAGAGAAAAGACAGUAGAGUCCACCAGCAUAAAGACAACAGCAACAAUCCCUAGCCGAGGGUUUUCAGCUCUGGCCAACCCUCAGGGUUACUUGUCCUGCUGCAACUUUAAAGUACACCGAGGUCUGAAAAUUCUGACGAGUUUAAAAACAAACAGAUCUAAGGUGGAGUCCAAACAUCCCCUUUUUUUAAAACUGAAUCACAGGAAUUCUCAGCAUAGCCAGAGGUGAGAUGAAUGCAGUGGCUAUGCCUUUCAGUAUGAAGCAACCCUGAACAUCAUUAGCUUUUGCAAAAGCUCCGUUUUUUGCUCUAUUUUGUGAUCUUGGAAAACUUCAGACUCUCACUUUCUUCCUUCCAAGUUAAAAAAUAUAUCAUGAUGUGAGUUGUUGAGGUGUUUAUCCUGUGACUAGAUAUCUAAACAGCCCAACUUAGAAGCCACCAUUAUUUUUAAUCAUCUGCUUUUUCUCGCUAUUCCAUUCUAUUUCUUCCUUUCUUAUUUUAUUAACUAAAUAUCUACAAUAUUAAAGGAAUAGUAUUACAGCUUGCAUCCUAGCUACUGGGAUGUAGAUACACACACACACACACACACACACACACACACACACACACACACAAUUACAAGGGAAAGUCAUAGAUGAUAUACAUUAUAACGUAACAGCAACUUCAAGUUAACUAUCCAAUGUUACAAAAUAAUGUUUCCUAAAAUGCCUGAUUUCAAGAUUGCUCAAUCUGUUCACAUGGCUCUUGAUGUGUAAUUUUCCCUUUAAAUUCUCUCCUCUUCCCUGAACUGCUAAUUUCUGACCUCAACACCAGUUUGGUGAUGUAUGUACAAUUUUUUCCACUCCCAAAUACUUUCCAAAUGAUUCUGUCUUCAAAAUAUUUACCUCUAGUUAGUGUCAUUUAAAUAACAAAGGCAUUAGCAUAUGUACCCAGCCCCAAAGACAGGCAUAUGUAAAAACAGCACACUAAGCUGGAAGGGUAGCCCCGGAAAACAGUCAGAUAGUCAUACUGAGCCCUGAUUUAAUUUGGUAAAUAUCAUCUGGCUACUGGGAAAUCAUGAGACAUAUUGUAGCAACAAAGCAGCAUGUCUCCUACAAUAACCUUUUUAUUUAUUUAAUCCAGUUCAUUAAUAAAGAUCUUCUUCUCAUUUUCCUGAUGUACAAAUACUCCAAAACCAUGGGCUCACAUUUUGACAGCUAAUUUUGCAGGAUAUAAUAUUCCUGCUUAGCCCAAGAGGAAAAAGAGAUGUAUGAUUGAGAUUAAUCAUUUGUAAAAUUAUAAUUCUGUCACAGAUAAUAAUUUGCAAGGUCUUUCCCUUUUCUGAAAUCCCCAGAAUGCACUGUAAAUUGUCACACUUUGUAACAGAAUGUGUAAUACAUUAGGGGACUCCUAAUAAAGCAAGUCUGCUAGAAAAACAAACCAAUUGCCUUAUAAUUGGCAUGUUCUCCCACAUGACUAUUCUCCUGUGAAGGAACAUUGUGCCUUGGGUAAAGAAGGGUUUAAAAAUUAUUAUUCAAGAGGUGGUUAUCUCCAUCUCUUAUUACCAUUUGAGCUGUAAUAUAUGGUAUUUCUUUGCCUUGUGUAAUUCUGUUAGAAUAUACAACUGUGUGCCCAGAAGGUGAAUUGAUCCCUGUGGACAAAUGAGCAAAUUCAGAAAUUUUUAAUUAUUUUCCAAUUUAAGAAAGACUAUCAAAAUGGACAUGCAAAAAUGGACUUUUUAUGAAUGGCUCCAUGGGUCCAUGAUGGAUAGCGCUUGCUGUUUUACAAGCAGAACUCUCUGUGAACUUUAUUUUUAAAGUCAAUUUUAUAGGCACUUAAUACUGUUUCAACAACAAAAACAAAGAAACUGUAAGGAUUUUACCUAAGGUUGGCAGAUAAUUCUUAGGUUAUAUAGGACUUGAUGAAAGAAGGUCUGUGAGCCUCUAUAGUUUCUUGGCCCAUUUUUAGCUAAAUUGAUUAGUGUAGAAGCUAAUAAGAUCAAGGUUAUGAGUUCAAUUUAUGUGUGGUCAACUAGCUUUGCUGCAUCCACAUCUGCUGACUAUAGUCAAAUCCAACAGUCUCAAGAAUAUAUGCCAAAGGGGUACACUGAAGAGAGAGUUUAAGUGAGUCAAAAUGCUGCCUAAUUCUUGUUAAGAAGUAUUAUUCAAAGGUCUGCUCUCCCAAAAGCUGAACAUUCUCACCAAUCCCACUGCCACUACUUUGGUGUGAGCCACGAUUACCUCCUGUUAAGAUUAUUUCAGUAGCUUCCAGCUCUUCUCCCUGCUACAUCCCUUGCCUUCUUCAGAUUAUUUCAACAAAGCAACAGAGUAAUCCUGUUAAAUGAAAGUCAGAACUUGUCACUCUUCUGCCCAAAACUCUUUGAUGGCUUCCCAACCAACUCCAAGUAAGAGCCAAAGUCUGUGCUCUAGGCUGUUUGUAUUCCUCUCCAUCUAGUCCCUCCAGUCUUUCCGGAACCCAAUGGCAAUCUCUUCUCCCACUCCCUCUGUUACAUCUGGCAUAAGCUCCGCAGUAAGCUUAGGCUUUCACAACAUCUUAGGAAAAGACUGUUUAUCAGCAGAUUUUGUGCCGUAAGAUAGUACCUGAGAAAAGGAGGGCAAAAGACCUGGUUUCCUUCUUGAAAUCAGGAGAGGGAGAAAAAUGAGAACAAAAGCAUAAAUAGAUCCCAUCUUUUUUUUGUGAACCAUAAAAGAAAAACACAAAAUAAUAUUUUAACAUUUCAUAAAUAUAAAUUAUCCCACUAUGUAUACAUAGAAGUCUCUGAUUGCCUCAAAGAAAGAAAGAACUUCCCUAAAUCUUUUGUAAGCACACAGCCUGAGGCAGUGGAGUGUGACACAAUUUAAAUCAGGAGGUGAUUUAGGAAGGUUUGCUUUGAGCCUCAGUAAAGUAGGAUAAAAAUACACAGGGCCAGAUUAAGGCACUUAUACAUUUUGGAAGAAAAUGAUACAAAUCUUCGAGUAUACAUUAGUCAACUUAAUGAGGGAAGUCACAUAAGAAUUUUUUUUUUUUUAGCAGUUAACUCUCUAAGUGGAAAAACAAUGAUUUAUAUUUACAAACUUAUAUAAUCUCAUCAUUCUAGGUGCUGGUUGGUAGAUUAAUGAACAAAAUAGAGAACAACCCUGCCUUCAUGGGGAUUAAAUUAUAGUGGAAGGAAACUAUUAAAGACACAAUAAGUAUAUUGUAUCUUGUGUUAGAAGUUGGCAAGUGCUAUGAUUUAAACAAAAAUGUGGACUUCCGCAAGGGACACCAAGAAUCCUGAGGGUGGCGUUGGCGCUGGACAUAUGUAGCUAUAUGUUGUAUACAUUUUAGAAUAGCAAGGAGGACAUUAUCAUUCCCGUUCUAUACAUCUUGGAAUUCUUGGCUAUUGGCUAGCAGAGAUGUGCCUGAAGCUUGGCUUUUUUAAAAAGAGAUUCAUGUCGUAUUCAUUAGUUUAUUCCUUACUUCUUUCUUAGGUAAUGAAAUAACAUCAUGUUGACAGGAAGUCCCUUUACUCAUACUGAAUGCCUUACUUUAAAAGUAUUUUUCUGGCCGGGCGUGGUGGCUCACGCCUGUAAUCCCAGCACUUUGGAAGGCCAAGGCGGGCGGUUCACGAGGUCAAGAGAUCGAGACCAUCCUGGCCAACAUGGUGAAACCCCAUCUCCACUAAAAAAAAAUACAAAAAAUUAGCUGGGUGUGGUAAGGUGCGCCUGUAGUCCCAGCUACUCGGGAGGUUGAGGGAGGACAACUGCUUGAACCCAGGAGGUGGAGACUGCAGUGAGCCGAGAUUGUGCCACUGCACUCCAGCCUGGCACCUGGCGACAAAAAAAAAAAAUAAAAAUAAAAAAACAAAAAGUAAAAAAAAAUAAAAAAGCAUUUUUCCAUGCCAAGCACUUGGUGCUAAUCCUAACCCAUACACUAGGGUUUGGUUUCUGUGCAGCCAUGAACUGUCUACGUGCCUCCUCACUCCCAUGCCUGCAGAAGCAGCAAGCACUGAUGGAGAGCCAGGUGUCUCAUGUUCUGUUGACACCUGGAGGUGGUCAGCUCAGUCUUUAUGGCCACGUGCUUUAUAUAAGAUUUCUUUAAGACAAAAAAAUGCAAAGCAAAUAUGUUGAACAAGUAUAUGGCAAUAGCUUUUUAAGAUGAGGCAUUUUUUAAAGCUGUCCUUAGGAUUUCUCACUUUGAAUGUUUACAACGUUUCUUGGUAGAAAGUAUUGUGUAUUCAAGGGCUCUAGAAAAUGUGUAUUCAAAAGCUGUUUCCAAGAUUAAAUUAGGAAGUAAAAAUGAAAAAUAAAAAAAAAAGAAAGACAGGUACCUAGUAGGAAAUGUAUAUAUUCACUGUCUUUAUCACCAAGAAAUGUGCUACAAAAACAGUCCACCCAAGACAAAUAAAGUAACCAUGGUUUGGAGGUAGUAGCUAAUACAUGGAAAAAGCUUAAGCAAUUUUUAAAAAAUAAUUUGGGCUACUGUCUUGGAAAAUUUUAAUCUUUACUUUGAUGUAAGUAAGGGAAAAGUAAAAACAAAAAAAUGCCUGGAGAGUGGCUGAAAGUCUUGACCUUCUAUGAUAUGUAAAAGUGAUUUGCGUUUACCCUGCACAUGUCUAUUUUCUUUAGCCAUUUGUUUUUGACUAUUGCUUUGUGGUGUCGCCCCUGCUACAAGAAUAUGAAAUACUCCUGUAUCUCUAAAAUCAGUGAUAUUCCUUAACAUCUGGAUUUCUUGGACAUCUGCCUUAGACCACUCACCACUCACAAGAAACAGGAGACCACCAUUACCACAAAUAACAUCUAGCCCGGCUUAGAGUUAACUGAUACAUUGAGCUAUAAAAUUCAUCCUGGGUUCAAGAGACAUGGGCCUGAAGAGAAUCAGAUGGUGGGUCUAAUUGAAAAGUUAACAACCUCUGCUAUUCUUAUCUAUAUAUGCUUUAUAUGGACUUCAUGCAGGUCUGAGCUCCUAAACUAAUGAAUGAGACUACGCCUACACACAAUCAAAACAACUAGCGGAAAACUGGAAAAUCUAAUCACCCAGGUGUUUUGCCUGCAUAAUCUCUUACAGCCCAUUUGACUAAUUGUUUUCACUAUGUUGAAUCUUUUCAUUUUAAUAACUGUUUUUUCCCAUAUGAU